UACAGAGGUCUCGAGCGUUGUUCGGAUUCAUUGGGCGUAAAGGGUGCGUAGGCGGCGAGGUAAGUCAGGUGUGAAAUCCCGGAGCUCAACUCCGGAACUGCACUUGAUACUGCCUUGCUAGAGUACUGGAGAGGGAACUGGAAUUUACGGUGUAGCAGUGAAAUGCGUAGAUAUCGUAAGGAAGACCAGUGGCGAAGGCGAGUUCCUGGACAGUUACUGACGCUGAGGUGCGAAAGCGUGGGGAGCAAACAGG
rnacentral:rRNA from 1 species